rnacentral:rRNA from 1 species
AGCAGCCGCGGUAAUUCCAGCUCCAAUAGCGUAUAUUAAAGUUGUUGCAGUUAAAAAGCUCGUAGUUGAAUUUCGGGAUUAAUAUGUUGGUCGUGCCUUGGUACGUACUGGCAUUAUUGAUUCCUACCUUCUGAAGAACCUCGAUGUCAUUAAUUUGGUGUCUUGGGGAAUCAGGACCGUUACUUUGAAAAAAUUAGAGUGUUUAAAGCAGGCUCGCGCUUGAAUACAUUAGCAUGGAAUAAUGAAAUAGGACGUUUGAUUCUAUUUUGUUGGUUUCUAGGAUCGACGUAAUGAUUAAUAGGGAUAGUUGGGGGCAUUAGUAUUCAAUUGUCAGAGGUGAAAUUCUUGGAUUUAUUGAAGACUGACUACUGCGAAAGCAUUUGCCAAGGAUGUUUUCAUUAAUCAAGAACGAAAGUUAGGGGAUCGAAGACGAUCAGAUACCGUCGUAGUCUUAACCAUAAACUAUGCCGACUAGGGAUCGGAUGAUGUUAAUUUUUAAUGACUCAUUCGGCGCCUUACG